GACGAACGCUGGCGGCGUGCUUAACACAUGCAAGUCGAACGGUGAAGCGCUUGCCUUUUUGGUGGGUGUGGAUGAGUGGCGAACGGGUGAGUAACACGUGAGUAACCUGCCCUCUUCUUCUGGAUAACCUCAUGAAAGUGGGGCUAAUACGGGGUAUUCCGGGUCUGUCGCAUGGCGGGUUUGGGAAAGAUUGCGCCUUUGGGUGUUUUCGGUGGGGGAUGGGCUCGCGGCCUAUCAGCUUGUUGGUGGGGUGAUGGCCUACCAAGGCGGUGACGGGUAGCCGGCCUGAGAGGGUGGACGGCCACACUGGGACUGAGACACGGCCCAGACUCCUGCGGGAGGCAGCAGUGGGGAAUAUUGCGCAAUGGGCGCAAGCCUGAUGCAGCGACGCCGCGUGAGGGAUGGAGGCCUUCGGGUUGUGAACCUCUUUCGCCAGUGAAGCAGGCCUGCUCCUGUGUGGGUGGGUUGACGGUAGCUGGAUAAGAAGCGCCGGCUAACUACGUG
rnacentral:rRNA from 1 species